rnacentral:rRNA from 1 species
CAGCAGCCGCCGCGGUAAUACGUAGGUGGCAAGCGUUGUCCGGAUUUAUUGGGCGUAAAGCGAGCGCAGGCGGUUUCUUAAGUCUGAUGUGAAAGCCCCCGGCUCAACCGGGGAGGGUCAUUGGAAACUGGGAGACUUGAGUGCAGAAGAGGAGAGUGGAAUUCCAUGUGUAGCGGUGAAAUGCGUAGAUAUAUGGAGGAACACCAGUGGCGAAGGCGGCUCUCUGGUCUGUAACUGACGCUGAGGCUCGAAAGCGUGGGGAGCGAACAGGAUUAGAUACCCCUGUAGUCCCUGUCUCUUAUAC